GCUGGAGAGAGUGUGGAGAAAAGGGAACCCUCCUACACUGUUGGCGGGACUGUAAAUUGGUCCAGCCACUAUGGAGAACAGUAUGGAGGUUCCUUAAGAAUACUAAAAAUAAACUUACCAUAUGACCCAGGAAUCCCACUCCUGGGCUUGUAUCCAGAAGGAAAUCUACUUCA